AGGUCAUUAACAAGGUUAUGGGUGCACGUCGCGUAAGCGACCUCUCCCCUCUCCUCCACCCGUGUCUACAUACUCUUGUUGCUUUGGCGGGCCGUGGCCUCCACUACGGGUUCUGCUCGUACGUGCCCGCCAGAGGACCAAACUCUGAAUUUUAGUGAUGUCUGAGUACUAUAUAAUAGUUAAAACUUUCAACAACGGAUCUCUUGGUUCUGGCAUCGAUGAAGAACGCAGCGAAAUGCGAUAAGUAAUGUGAAUUGCAGAAUUCAGUGAAUCAUCGAAUCUUUGAACGCACAUUGCGCCCCGUGGUAUUCCGCGGGGCAUGCCUGUUCGAGCGUCAUUAUGACCACUCACGCCUGGCGUGGUGUUGAGGCACGCGGUUCCGCGGCCCUCAAAUCCAGUGGCGGCGCCGGUUGGCUCUAAGCGUAGUAAAACUUCUCGCUUGAGGGUCCUCCCGGUGGCUCGCCAGAACCCCCCAACUUCUUUAAGGUUGACCUCGGAUCAGGUAGGGAUACCCGCUGAACUA
rnacentral:rRNA from 2 species